CUCUUCCCUCUCUCUACUGAAGCAGGAGCUCUGCUAGGGCACAAGAAACCUUCCUCAUUUGAGCUAGUCAAAAUUCAUUCUACCUCCAACUCACUGCUCUAGCUCUUGGAGCUGUGGUGCUCUUUAGUUGCGGACUUGUUGUCUUUGCUAGCGUCUAAAAAGAUGGGAAAAACAUUGAAGGUGGACCUGAUGGUAACAAUGGUGCGGUGUAGUGUGCCCUGUCACCUUUGGCUCUUGGGAGCAGUUUUAU